AAAAUUUCACAAUGGGCGCAAGCCUGAUGCAGCAACGCCGCGUGCGCGACGAAGGCCUUCGGGUCGUAAAGCGCUUUUCGGGGAGAUGAGUACGGACAGUAUCCCCGGAAGAAGGAUCGGCUAACUACGUGCCAGCAGCCGCGGUAAAACGUAGGAUCCGAGCGUUAUCCGAAUCCACUGGGCGUAAAGCGCAUGCAGGCGGCCGCACAAGUUGGAUGUGAAAUCUCCCGGCUCAACUGGGAGGGGACGUUCAAAACUGUGCGGCUCGAGGGCGGUAGAGGAAGGUAGAAUUCCCGGUGUAGUGGUGAAAUGCGUAGAGAUGUGGAGGAACACCAGUGGCGAAGGCGGCUCUUUGGUCUGUAACUGACGCUCAGACACGAAAGCGUGGGGAGCAAACA
rnacentral:rRNA from 1 species